rnacentral:rRNA from 1 species
AGCGAACGCUGGCGGCAGGCCUAACACAUGCAAGUCGAACGAACUCUUCGGAGUUAGUGGCGGACGGGUGAGUAACACGUGGGAACGUGCCUUUUGGUUCGGAAUAACUCAGGGAAACUUGUGCUAAUACCGAAUGUGCCCUUCGGGGGAAAGAUUUAUCGCCAUUAGAGCGGCCCGCGUCUGAUUAGCUAGUUGGUGAGGUAACGGCUCACCAAGGCGACGAUCAGUAGCUGGUCUGAGAGGAUGACCAGCCACACUGGGACUGAGACACGGCCCAGACUCCUACGGGAGGCAGCAGUGGGGAAUCUUGCGCAAUGGGCGAAAGCCUGACGCAGCCAUGCCGCCUGAAUGACGAAGGUCUUAGGAUUGUAAAAUUCUUUCACCGGGGACGAUAAUGACGGUACCCGGAGAAGAAGCCCCGGCUAACUUCGUG